AUUGAACGCUGGCGGCAUGCUUUACACAUGCAAGUCGAACGGUAACAGGCCGCAGGGUGCUGACGAGUGGCGAACGGGUGAGUAAUGCAUCGGAACGUGCCCAGUCGUGGGGGAUAACGCAGCGAAAGCUGCGCUAAUACCGCAUACGAUCUGUGGAUGAAAGCGGGGGACCGUAAGGCCUCGCGCGAUUGGAGCGGCCGAUUCCAGAUUAGGUAGUUGGUGGGUUAAAGGAUCACCAAGCCAACUCUCUGUAGUUGGUCUGAGACGACGACCAGCCACAGUGGGCCUGAGACCCGGCCCGGGCACCUACGGGAGGCAGCAGUGGGGAAUUUUGGACAAUGGGCGCAAGCGUGAUCCAGCAAUGCCGCGUGCAGGAAGAAGGCCUUCGGGUUGUAAACUGCUUUUGUACAGAACGAAAAGGCUCUGGUUAAUACCUGGGGCUCAUGACGGUACCGUAAGAAUAAGCACCGGCUAACUACGUGCCAGCAGCCGCGGUAACAC
rnacentral:rRNA from 1 species